rnacentral:rRNA from 1 species
AAGAACCUGAAACCGUGUACGUACAAGCAGUGGGAGCACCCUUUGGGGUGUGACUGCGUACCUUUUGUAUAAUGGGUCAGCGACUUAUAUUCUGUAGCAAGGUUAACCGAAUAGGGGAGCCGGAGGGAAACCGAGUCUUAAUUGGGCGUUAAGUUGCAGGGUAUAGACCCGAAACCCGGUGAUCUAGCCAUGGGCAGGUUGAAGGUUGGGUAACACUAACUGGAGGACCGAACCGACUAAUGUUGAAAAAUUAGCGGAUGACCUGUGGCUGGGGGUGAAAGGCCAAUCAAACCGGGAGAUAGCUGGUUCUCCCCGAAAGCUAUUUAGGUAGCGCCUCGUGAAUUCAUCUCCGGGGGUAGAGCACUGUUUCGGCUAGGGGGCCAUCCCGGCUUACCAACCCGAUGCAAACUGCGAAUACCGGAGAAUGUUAUCACGGGAGACACACGGCGGGUGCUAACGUCCGUCGUGAAGAGGGAAACAACCCAGACCGCCAGCUAAGGUCCCAAAGUCAUAGUUAAGUGGGAAACGAUGUGGGAAGGCCCAGACAGCCAGGAUGUUGGCUUAGAAGCAGCCAUCAUUUAAAGAAAGCGUAAUAGCUCACUGGUCGAGUCGGCCUGCGCGGAAGAUGUAACGGGGCUAAACUAUGCACCGAAGCUGCGGCAGCGACACUAUGUGUUGUUGGGUAGGGGAGCGUUCUGUAAGCCUGUGAAGGUGUGUCGUGAGGCAUGCUGGAGGUAUCAGAAGUGCGAAUGCUGACAUAAGUAACGAUAAAGCGGGUGAAAAGCCCGCUCGCCGGAAGACCAAGGGUUCCUGUCCAACGUUAAUCGGGGCAGGGUGAGUCGACCCCUAAGGCGAGGCCGAAAGGCGUAGUCGAUGGGAAACGGGUUAAUAUUCCCGUACUUGGUGUUACUGCGAAGGGGGGACGGAGAAGGCUAUGUUGGCCGGGCGACGGUUGUCCCGGUUUAAGCGUGUAGGUGUGUGUUCCAGGUAAAUCCGGUUCACUUUAACACUGAGGCGUGA